AUGGAAAAAGAACACAGUGAGUAAGGUAGGAGAACAUCUAUUUUUUGAAGUAAAGACAUGAGUGAUGUGAAUUAUACUGAGAAGAAGUUGAUUACAGAAACAAUUGGAGGAUAUUACAUAGAACAGAAAGCAAACUGAAUUUUCAU
rnacentral:snoRNA from 2 species